CCAGAGCGAUCGACUAGAGGAGGAACGCUCUUGGACACCCUCCUUCAGGGACGAGAGGUCACGCUACAAGUUUGCAUGACAGCAGUGAUGGGAAAAGACUUAUUUUUGGUCGGCUUCUUGAUCUUUUUUUCUAAUUUUUUUUCCCUUUUUUUUUUUUUCCCCCUGAUGUUGGCUGGCUCCUUGGUUUGGACAAAAGUUGCACAAAAUGGCAGUGCCUCCCAAAAAAACCCCACGAGACUUGGAAGAAACUGUUCUUCAGAAGUUAGCUGCAGGAAAACACCUAAGAAAACUCGACUUUUUGCUUCAUUUUUUAAAGUUUCCAAAGAAACCUGCGCUUCCCUUCUUCUCUAGGAAAAGGUAGCCAUUGCUCCUCUUUGGGCGAGACAUUUCUGAUUUGUUCCGUCUGUCAGAACGGGGCUAAGAGAGGUUUUGGUGCAAAUUCAUUAUCUCUGGCAAAGCAUAGCUUAUAGUAGGAACUGCAAAAGACCGUGGCAAUGGAUGAACAAUAGGGCUUCAGUUCAUCAGCAACAAAAGCGUUGGGGAAAUUGGUUGAAUUUCAGAGCACGUCCUUCACAGCAGAGAGGGCUGGACUAGACCUUGGCCAACCCCCCCACACACACCAAAAAAAAAACUUGCAAAGCUUCACAUACAACACUUCACUUUCUACUCCGGGGCGUAGAAAGCAAUAUGGAAAAAAAAAAAAAAAUGAGGAGAAGGAAAAGAAAAAUAAUCCAAACCCAAGCCAAGUUUCUGCGUUUCUUCCCGUUUUCCUGGAUGGAAGAUUUCUAACUCCUUCAGAGCCUUUCGUGCAAGAUUGACACCGUGGAGCUAAGCGGCACUUUUGAAUAGGGAUGGCGAGGGGAAGGAUGAGAAUUGCUGGAGACUUUCUCUUCUCCGAGGGGCGCUUGGCCGUGGGGAUCUUUGUUCACAGCCGGAGUCUCAUCUCCCCCCCAGAUCUGGAGUCAAAUCCUUCUCCGAUAAAGGCGAAGAAAUAUUUAGACAAAGCAGACAGACCACAGGGAGUGACACUCAUGACAAGAAACGAGCAGUUAUGGCUAAUGAUAUAUCUUCCUGAGGAGAAUGGAUGAGAUGUCUCUUUGGAAUUAUUCCUGGAAUUAGACCAGCAUGAGGUCUCUUCUACCAACCUGAGGGGAAUGGAGUUUAGAACUGACUCUCGACACUUGAUACACAUUGGGCAGGAGGCCAAGGUGAAUCAGAAUAAACAGCCAGAAGAAAAUGCCAAAGACAAGAAAAUAACAGCAACUUAAUAUGAUUUAAUACCAAUAAAGUGGUUAAGGAUAGUGGAAACAAUUCUUGAUCUUUUCUUCUUCUAAUAAAUGCAAAACAAUUUUUGUAAUACAUUAUAGUUGGUUUAGCACCUUCCAGCUAGAGCUAUCCACCACGGUCCGGAUGGAAACACUGCUUUUUCUCCAUAUUAUGGCAGCCAAACUGUUAAGGUUACAGGCACCUCACAUGGUUUGCAGCAGAGCGGCCUUUCCAUACUGCUAUGCUACCAGGAACCAGGGACAACGUUUUGCAGCAGGACAAUCUAUAAAGAAGAAGUAUACACUGCAAUAUAACUGAGAAUAACUGGCAGAUCCCAAGAAAAUCCUACACCACCUACCUGUUGUGGAGCUGUGUGAAGCUACUGAAAACUCACUCAGUUUUGGAGUAAUGCAUUUAAUUUUAUUUUCCUGCCAGAGCAAAACAGCACCAGAUUCUUACACUGGUAUAAUCCUGCAUCACAGCUGUGUAAGAUGGGAAGGAAAGACAUUUUUCCAUUCAAAUCCUGCUGGUAGGGAAGUGGAGUUCUUUGGGUCCAGAUCUUAAUAUGAAGUUAGAGAAAGUAAAUCAUGAAACUAUCAGUGUGGAGUAAAAUUACGGAAGAGCAAGAGAGAAUAGGAAUUGAUUUUGCUUUCACUAUCUGGAUUACUGGAAUGUUCUUCUUGCCUCCUUUUCGUGCUGGAUUGAUGGGUGUGGUAUACAAUGUUGGACAGCCAGGGAAGACCAAGCCUGUGCUAGGAAGUCAGAAUGGUCUCAGUGCAGUUCCCAGAAGAAUUCAGUUUUAACUGGACUUGGAGGGAACCACAGUUGUCUCGAACCUUUAGCGGGCAGUAACAAACAGAUCAUUAAGAAGGUUCCACUAAUCCAGAGGUAUCCCUGCUCCAUGGAGCAGCGUCCAGAGAAAACACAUUCCCUUAAGGCUACAAGUGCUCCCUGCGCUUUUGGCCACUAGUUACCUCCUGCUAAAGAGUUGCUAAGACAAUUCAAAUUGAUGUACUUGAUCUAUGCUGAAAACUGCAUGAUGUUCCACCAUCACUGUGAGAGAGGCUAGUAGUUCUGCAAAAGCUACAUCAUUUCACUGAGAUAUUUCCCACUGCCGAAAUAUAUUUGAAUUAAAUUAAUUUCUGCAUAAAAGAUUAACUGAAGAAUUUCAUGGAUGGCACCACAGUUAAAGUUUGGCAUUCUGAAUUCUCUUCUUUUUGUUUUUUAGAAAAAACAUGAAAGGAAGCAUAGUUCACAUCCACCCUCUUUUGUUCAUCCUUUUGUUAAGUAUCUAUAUAAAUGACUACCUAUGAAAAUGUUUAUGUGAUUAUCACCAGCAGAAAAUGUUUUCCACAUCUUAAAACCAAUUCUUUUUUUCCUUAUUUCUUUCAACAUCUGUGGUGGAGAGUGAGUGUACAAAGAAGACACUUUAGUUACGCAUGAUUUUUUUUUGCUUUUGUGGAGAGGAACAGUUUAUUUUAUGGUAUUUAUCUCAUAAUAAAGAGUUGAGGUUAACUUUGUUUCGUUUGGCUUUGAUUUGUUUGGUAUUGCAGAUAAGGUAUCUUAGCUGCUUUCUACAAAAACAUAUAAGAUGUAAUGCUGGGAAAUACAGCUACUGUUCUGCAUGUUUUGGGAACUAAACAAAUCAGCAAGAAAAAGAGAACUUGGUCUUUAUCUGCAUCACAGAAUAUUCUGAAAGCAGUAAUUGUCCACAAAUUGUAUAGUGAGGUGUGCAGUUUGUUCUGCUCUGGGAGCAGAGACAGAUGGGCAUUUGGACACCACAUAGCAUAAACGCAUAAACAAAAUCAUAGAAUCAUAGAAUCAUAGAGUCAUAGAAUCAUAGAAUCAUAGAAUCAUAGAAUAGUUUGGGUUGGAAGGGACCUUAAAGGUCAUGUAGUUCCAACCCCCCUGCCAUGGGCAAGGUCAUCCAACUAGAUCCCAUCCAAUCUGGCCUUGAACAGCUCCAGGGAUGGGGCAGCCACAGUUUCCCUGGGCAACCUGUGCCAGUGUGUCACCACUGUCAUGGUGAAGAAAUUCUUCCUUAUGUCUAGUCUAAAUCCGCCCUUCUCCAGUUUAUCUGCAUUGCCCCUCGUCCUAUCACCUUUAUGAAGCCUUUAUGAACAAUCCCUUUCUCACGUUUCUUGUAGCCGCUUCAGGUACUGGAAAGUCACUGUAAGUUCUCCUCAGAGCCUUCUCUUCUCCAGACUGAACAACUCCAACCCUCUCAGGUUGGAGGGAAGGUAGUCGUAGGGAAGGUGUUCCAGCCCUCUGAUCAUCUUUGUAGCCCUUCUCUGGACUCGUUCCAACACCUCCAUAUCCUUCUUACAUUGAGGAUUCCAGAACUGAACACAGUACUCCACAUGAGGUCUCACAAGAGAAGAAUAAAGGGGCACCAUCACCUCCCUCACCCUGCUGGCCACACUUCUUUUGAUGCAGAGCAGGACACGGUUGGCCUUCUGGGUUUUGAAGCACAUUGCCGGCUCAUGUUGAGCUUCUCAUCAACCAGCACCAAGUCCUUCUCUGCAGGACUGCUCUCAAUCACAUCAUGCCCCAUCCUGCAUUGAAACCACAGAUUGCACUGACCCAGGUGUAGGACCUUGCACUUGAUGUUCGCACAAGCCAAUUUUUCCAGCCUGUCCAGGUCUCUCUGGAUGACAUCCCGUCCUUCCAGUGUGGCAACUGUACCACUCGGCUUGGUGUCAUCUGUAAACUUGCAGAGAGUGCACUCAAUCUCGCUGUCUAUAUCACUGAUGAAAAUAUAUAUGAAAAUAUGAUGGGCCUCACCUCCCUCGACCUGUUGGCCAUGCUUGUUUUGACGCAGGCCAGGGUACGGUUGGUCUUCUGGUCUACAAGCAAACAUUAUCAACUCAUGUCGAGCUUCUCAUUGACCGGCUUCCCUAAGUCCUUCUCUGCAGGGCAGCUCUCAAUCACAUUCCCCAUCAUGCACUGAAAACAGGGAUUGCCCCAACCCAAGUGUAGGACCUUGCACUUGGCCUUGUUGAACCUCUUACGGUUCACACAGCCCCACUUCUCCAGCCUGUCCAGGUCUUGCUGGUUGACAUCCUGUCCUUCUGGUGUGGCAACUGCACCACUCAGCUUGGUGUCAUCUGUAAACUUGCCGAGGAUGCAUUCAAUCUCUCUGUAUAUAUCACUGAUGAAAAUGUUAAAUAGCACUGAUCCCAGUACAGACCCCUGAGGGACAUCACUUUUCAUGGAUCUCCAUCUGGACUUUGAGGCAUUGACCACUACUCUCUGAAUACGACCACCCAAACAGUUUCUUAUACACCUUAUCGUCCACCAAUCAAAUCCAUAUCUCUCCAAUUUAGAGAGGAGGAUGUUGUGGGGGACCAUGUCAAAGGCUUUACAGAAGUCCAUAUAGAUCACAUCCAUUGGUUUACUCAUGUCCACUGCUGUGGUUACGCCAUCAUAGAAAGCCACCAGAAAUCCUUGAGAGGAGGCGUCAACAGGAAUGUAAAAUAAGUAAAAUUCUGACUCAGGUUAUUUCUGAUUUUUCUUCAAGUAUUCAUCAAUCAUCCACAGCUUCUGAGUAAUUUAAAUAAAGCACAUUAAGCUCAUGCACUCUUUCUAGUCUAUGUUUCCUUCGUGUUGGUGUACAGUUCUUGAGUCCUGAAGUCCAAGCAGGGAUAACACAGGAAGCACUCAGAAACUGCUAAUUUAUGCGCUUCUUCAGCGAUAUGCAUUAACCUGGGCAUUAACCCAUGAUGAAUCUGAGCAUCUGACUGGGUUCUUCAAGUUGUAGCAAGUCUACUGAGAUGAUGUUGAGUUAAAAUAAAUGGAAGACUAAACAGGUUCAAAAUAUCCUUGAGAUGCAUGAACCGACACUACAUGAAAAUAUUUAUCUAUUUGCUUGCUGACCAAACUGUCUAUUUUAUGUGGGAUUUAACAGCAACUAUUACUUGGACACUUCUGUUAUUUACCUGUUGCAUCAUGUACUGGAAAUGCAGCUCUUCUAUUAAAUUCCUACUCUCUUGCCUUCUUGCUUGCUUUCUUGCUUUUGGCACCAUAGACCUCAAUGGACAAAUAAAUAAUUGAAAUUCUUUCUUUCUAAACAUAUAUAAACUUCAGAAACGGCCUGACCUGCAGCCAGUCAUGAUUUUGAAAUUGAACUCAACAGGGAAAAGCCUUGAUCAGUAACUAAAUAAUGUUUUCCUUAUUAUUCAAUGUUUAUAAGUUAUAUCUUAAAAUUAAAACCCAGUUUGUUUCUGUGAAUGUAGUCAUAUAUUUCAUGUUAUGUCUUGCUGGCUCUUCAGAACACUUUUUCUACCAACACAACUCAGAUUUUGAUGUAAUUAAUGUGUAUGUCUUUCCAAAUUUUCUAAUAAAAUAAACAGCCCUUAUUGCUUAAACAAUUCUCUUUGGUUGGAAUUCUAAUUAAAAUCUCUACAUUAUUUUAAACUCCCAUUUCUAGGCCUUUCAGGAAGUUUAGCUGAUGAAAAGGGUCCUCUUUUUGAUCUUAAUCUAUUUCAAUCUAGGUAUUAUGAUAAUGGGUAAAGUCUAAAAUUUUCUAGAGCACCUUUUAGUAGUGAUAGAAGAAUUAAAAAUAGCACAGCACUUCUUAAUUUUAAAUAAUAUUUUCUUAAAACAUUUGGGAUCAUGCAAUGUAUUAGCACAACACAUUCAUGACUGUUUCUAGUAUAAACGGUUCUGAGAUCUGUGGAUUUAUUUCUGUAUCACAGAUGUUUUAGAAAGAGUGUUUAAACCUUCAUGGUGGCAACGGUGGAGUACAAGCAGCCUUUGGCAUCACUUCUUCGCAGCCCAGGAAGAGCUAAACUCUGCUCAGUGCUCAUUUCACAGAGAAGGGAAGCAGGGUAGACUUUCAGUGGAUGGCAGUGCUGACAGUCUUGCUUUCUUACCAUUAAACUAAUGAGUGGAAUUAACGACUGGUGCACUGAGCAAGGUCUGUUUAAGCCCAAGUCCAGCUACAUUUCCAUGCAAAGGACUGUUGAGAAUAUCAGCCAAACUGCAGGCCUUGGUCAGGAAAGAAAGAAAAUCUGCCCAUGAAUGACCAUCCUACUCCUCAUUAAAGCCAUGUCUUUUCCUUGACCUUUAAAUGCUCAAGCUAAUGCCACCACAGCACUGAGCAAACUAUAAACUGUGAUGGCUAAAGGGAUGAUGAGCCUUGCUUCCACUUCAGGAGAGAGAAAAGAGAGGACCAAACUGUGACCCUAAUAUGUACUGCCUCUUCAGAACUUCAUAGGGAAGGGGCAUCCCUGACUUCCCUGGACAAGCUGUGCCAGGGCCUCACCACCCUCAUCGUGAAGAAUUUCUUCCUAAUGUCUAAUCUAAAUCUCCCCUCUUCCAAUUUAAAGUCAUUCUCCCUCAUCCUAUCACUCCAGGGCCUUGCAAAAAGUCCCUCCCCAUCUUUCCAGUAGACCUUUUCAGGUACUGGAAGCUGCUCUAGGGUCUCCCCAGAGCCUUCUCUUCUCCAGGCUGAACAACUCCAACUCUCUCAACCUGUCCUCAUAUCAGAGGUUCUCCAGCCCUCUGAUCAUCUUCAUGGCCUCCUCUGGACACAUUUCAACAGUUCCAUCUCAUUCUUAUGUUGGGGAUUCCAGAAUUGGAGUCACCUCCCUUGACCUGCUGGCCACACUUCUUUAGAUGCAGCCCGGGAUACAGUUGGCCUUCUGGGCAUCUUUCAUGACAGCUCAUUUAACCUUGUUUGCUUAGGAAUAAUUCAUGGGAUGAGUGACUCUGGCUCCAGAUUUGUAAUGGAUAUUGCGCAGCAAAAAGCAAAAAGGCAAAGAGCAUGAAAUUUGUGCCUUAAGUGUAUGUACACAGUAAAAGUACUUAAAGGCAAAAUUAGUCCUGCUUUAUGUAACAGAAAGCUGUAAGAGAAAAGUGCGUGGAUCUGCAAAACUGAUCACCAGCCUGCUAGGCAGAGGAAAGCAGUACCACCAAUAUGAAGCAAGAUGCAAUCAUUUAGCCGUAGAAUUUACUUCCAUUUCAUGACACUGCACCAUAUGAAUCAGCCCCAAACCACUCAUGUUUGCAUUUCCCUGUUCAUGGCUGUUUUUAUCCUUGUGCCAACGGAUUGAAGAGUUAAUAAAAUGUCACUGAUAUAAGAGGCCAUUUCACAGCUAAGCACAGUAAUUCGAUGUGGGACAUGGCAUGAACACCAAGGAGGCAUUUAAUGAGGUGGAUUUCUGGAUGUACUCUUUGAAGGAUAUUUGAAGAAUUAUUUGAUUGCUUUAUAGAAUGCAGGAAACAAUAAACUCAAUGCGGCACUAGUGUUGGCUCUCACAGUUGCAUUCAGCUCAAACAUUGCCAUUCCAUUCAGAAUUACAAAUUGAUAUUGAUACUUAAUGACCUAAUAUAACGUAAAUGUUCCUGCAUAUUUUGCAUAGCAAGAUGCUCAGAAAAAUGGCAUUUUCUUCAGCCUAAACAUUAAGAAGAUAAGACUUGACUCUGCUUAUUCUUAUUAAAACAACUGCAGGCUUCAACAGUCCUAAGAAUGUCAAAAAUAUUGUGUUUAAACCGUACAGAACUGCAAUUGAAAUACAUCUCACACCAGAUAUAUCUUUACAUUUGAUCUUCUGACAGCAGGUAUAGAAAAAUACAUUUAGAAACUGUCAAUAUUAUGUGUAUUGUUUUUAUUUAAAAGAAACAAGCUGGUGUAACUGGCUUUGCAUGUCAAUGUGUGGAUUUUGGCGCCUAUCACUCAAGGACAAUGUUCAUCUCAGCUUCUAAAUCUCAGCAUGUAAUGUACAGAAUUCAAUAUUUAGCCUGAUUAUUCUUGGAAGAGCAAGAAAUCAUAGAUAUCAAACUACAUUGGACUUGACUGUGCCACUGGAAACAGUGUGGUUUUGUGUUAAUCUUGUGGCUAUCAAUGGGUACAAUUCAAAUCAGAUAUCCUAAGUAACAACAGGAAAAAUAAAAAGUAGAUGUUCCUUUUUUUUUCAAUUGAAUAUCUGCAAUCGAUACAAUUAUUUAGUUCUUUCUUGGCAUUAUUCUUCAUUUCCCUUCACACUAAUAAAAAAAGUAAACUAUAAGCUCUGUUUUGCCUAUGCCUUUCAUGAUGCUGCAUGGAUGUUAUACCUUGAAGUCAAUAUACAAAUUCUGCAGGACACGCAAUUGGAGGAACACAAAUUAAUUCAGGGGGAAGGAAAUAGAAACAUGAACAAACUUUAAAAAAGGCUAUUAAAAAAAAUAGCUUAUGUGACUUCUGCCAGACCCACCCCCUCGUUUCUGUUGGUUACUUUUUGUUUUUGAAAGCUUAAGAGGUCUCCGAGUAACUCGGUUUUCUCUCCUGAUUGAUGCUGUGGGUAGAUGACAGCAUCUGCAGUACUUUGAAGGCUUUGCUAGAGAAAUGUUGGUGUUCAACUGGUAUAAGUCACCAAUCCCUGUCCUCCUUGACUCCUCCAAGAUCACAGAUAAUUGUUUUAGCUAGCUGUCUAAUACCUCAAGGUAAAUUUCAUCAACCCUGGUGAUUUCAAAACAAGUAACUUAAACUAAAUCUUCCCUAACCUGCUCUUUCCUUACAGUAGCUGCAAUAUCACCCUUUCAAGAUGGCCAUGACUGUUGGUUUCAGCCAAGUACUGACUGAAAACCAAAUUAAACUCUUCUGCUGAAGUGUUGUUAUGAUGUCUUUCUGUCCCCUAAACAGUGAAUCAAUCCCUCCCUUUGUUUUCUGCCUUACUACUAUUGCACUUACAGAACACCUUCCAGCUACUUUUCCAUCUCUGGUGACACCUGAAUAAGCUUUGUGCCUCAAGGACAUGACAACGGCUUCUAGUGAGUUAUAUCCAAGGCCCGUCUGGCCCUUUAACCUGUCUCCAACCAAGGUCAAUAUCAGGUAUUUAGGAAAUAGCAUAAGAACAGGGCAGGUGUAUAUUUACUUUUUUAUCAGUGUCUUGUGGCUGACGAACAUCCUGACCAAGAGGCUUCAUCCUUGGAUAUAUUAGCUGUGGGCGGACUUUUUUUCCUAGCAGUGAGUUUCCCCUAUCAUUUAAAAGCAUUUUUUAACAUGCACAAUACCUCUUAGUCUGAAGAUAUAUAGCAAACUGCACAGUCAGAAAUAAGUUCCAUCAGCCUGUGUUGAACUUACCACUCAAGAGUGUAACCAAUUUAUUCUUACUAAUUUAUCAGUUUUCUCUUUAUGGUCCUUAAUUCAUUCGUGUUUUGUCAAUUUACACCUCUUUAAGGUUCUGUGUGGAAGUGUUCACCCAACUGAAGCUCCCUUUGGGAAGUUAACACCACAAGACUUUAUGUGUUCUCUUGCGCAAGGGAGUUUUUUGCAGUAGCGUGCAUUUAGUAAAUCACUGCUGAAGUCACAAGACAAGAGAACAAUACCUCAUGUAAGUGAAGUCAGUGAGUUCAGAACAGAGAUACUGUGAAUAAACUUAAAGAUGCCAACUCUGACUCUGACAUCGAUGACCUCAACACAGAUUAAUUUACCCAAGAAAGAAAGAAAUCAUUCCAUAUUUAGCACCACGAUGCAGCAAUAAAACAUCGAUGAGCCAGGUGUGUAACACCAGCUUGCUGAGCAGAGACUGAUGUGAAGGCAUAUUUGGAGAAGCAGAACUAGUUGUAGCUGUUAGUCUGACCACGGAGUUUUCACAGGCGGACAUAGAUGUUCCCAGACCAAGGGUUUCCUUGAACAUCUAUUAAGAAUUAAAAAAAGAAAAGAUCAGCACUGGUGCUAACUGAUUCUGUAUCCUCACCAGAAACAAGCACGCAAAUCCCAAAACUGUAAGUCUUUUCUACAUUGCUCCAAAUGAUGUAUUCUCCACAUGAAUAACUGUUCCUCUCUUUUAUUCAUUCCAGCUGAGCGAACUGCUUAUCUGGCCACAUAAAUGUCUUCAAGUGGCUAAAAGCCUCUGAGCUACCUACCACAUACUUUGGAAGUGAAAAUGAAGGAAAUUCCAGGAAUAGAUUUCAGGCAGAGGUUGUGCCCAACCGUUAUCAUUUUAAGAAGAGUAGUUAUUUGAUUGGUUUUGCAUUAUGUCCCCAGACAUCUCUGUGUGUGUGCACAUGCAGGUAUUAAUAACUGGUGAGUUUAUACAGAAGUCCAUGUAUGCCAGCAAAAACAUGUGUGUAUAUUUACAUAAGAGCUUAUGUUAUAUAAACUCAGUUUUUCAGAAUUGGAAAUACAGAAGUUCUGUACCUUUAUUAAUGGCAGAGUCAGAGCAGUUAGCACAUGCAGUUUUGCAGACAUAGUUGGUGGAGUUUAGACCUUUAGAAUCAUAGAAACACAGAACCACAGAAUCAUAGAAUUCUUUGUGUUGAAAGAGUCCUUUACAAGUUGUCUAGACCAACGCCCCUGCAGGAAAUGGGAUUGAUCUCUACUAAUUUGAGUUACCUAACGGUUAGGCAUUAUCAUGUAGAGAGAGGCUCCUCUAGAAAUCAAGGUUUGAAGAGGUGGGAUCAUUUAUCAUCUGGAUGCUACUCAAGCACCGUCACAGCUUGCUUAAAUUGGAUAUCUCACUUCAAGACAGUCAAAGUUAGAGGAAACAAAUCUUUUUGCCAGAUACUUGAUUGCUCUUAGCUCAAGAAGAUUAUCUGAGUAUGCAAAUAACUGGAUUGAAAAAAAAAUGAGAAAGCAGGGUAAUACCACUUGUGCAUUGGCAAAAACGCGUUAGAGAACUGAAGAGUCCUGGCAGAGCUGGAUUUUCAGCCUCCUAUAACACUGAUGUAGUGUGAGGUUGCACAAAAUACUUGUUUUCAAAGUCUGCAAGCAAUAUCAGCUUUCCUUCACAUGCAUCUACUGCCACACUCAUAAUCAGGCAAAAGCAAAGAACUCUUUAUUAGCAAAAUGUUCGAAUAUUCUAAUUUUAAACAAACAGUAUUGAUAACACUCCUCAAUAUAUUAAAACCACUCAUUAGAUGGAGAAAUAAUUAAAAUGUGCAACUCAAGGAAACAAACAAUCCUCUCAACAUUCUGAUAAUUCAGUUUUAAAGAUGUACAAAAAUGCACACAUUUUGUCUAACGUUUUGACAUUCUUUCAGAUGAUUGAAUCAAAAGAAUAUCCCAAGUAUCCUUUCCAAAUGGUGGGAAAGCAAAUGUUAACCUGCUGUGAGAAAAACCAGUCCUGCACAUCAACAACAUGAUCUUUUGUUACAUUCAUCAAGAAAGCUCCAAUUCCAAAGCUGUCCAGCUCUUUUUUUAUAAACAUUCCAUAUACAACACAAAAUAAAACUAGCUAGGCCAUUACCUCAAUUACCAAUGAACUUUUAAGAGACAGAUUAUUUAAAAUAUCUCAUCCAUGGAAAGGAAUUCUGUAUUUACAAUCAUUUAUAAGGCUACACAGAAAUUAACAAAAAAUUUCUUCUUU